AACGCUAGCUACAGGCUUAACACAUGCAAGUCGAGGGGCAGCGCAGUGUAGCAAUACAUGGGCGGCGACCGGCGCACGGGUGCGUAACGCGUAUCCAACCUUCCCGAUACUCAGGGAUAGCCUUCCGAAAGGGAGAUUAAUACCUGAUGGUGUUCAAAUUCCGCAUGUUAUUUGAACUAAAGAUUUAUCGGUAUCGGAUGGGGAUGCGUGACAUUAGAUAGUAGGCGGGGUAACGGCCCACCUAGUCUACGAUGUCUAGGGGUUCUGAGAGGAAGGUCCCCCACACUGGAACUGAGACACGGUCCAGACUCCUACGGGAGGCAGCAGUGAGGAAUAUUGGUCAAUGGUCGGAAGACUGAACCAGCCAAGUAGCGUGAAGGAUGAAGGUUCUAUGGAUUGUAAACUUCUUUUAUACGGGAAUAAAGCCCACUACGUGUAGUGGUUUGUAUGUACCGUAUGAAUAAGCAUCGGCUAACUCCGUGCCAGCAGCCGCGGUAAUACGGAGGAUGCGAGCGUUAUCCGGAUUUAUUGGGUUUAAAGGGAGCGUAGACGGGAUGUUAAGUCAGUUGUGAAAGGCUGCGGCUCAACCGCAGCACUGCAGUUGAUACUGGCGUCCUUGAGUGCGGUUGAGGUGUAUGGAAUUCGUGGUGUAGCGGUGAAAUGCUUAGAUAUCACGAAGAACUCCGAUUG
rnacentral:rRNA from 1 species